rnacentral:rRNA from 1 species
AGUCGAGCGGAAACGAAGAGGUGCUUGCACCUUUGGCGUCGAGCGGCGGACGGGUGAGUAAUGCUUGGGAAUAUGCCUUAUGGUGGGGGACAACAGUUGGAAACGACUGCUAAUACCGCAUGAUGUCUACGGACCAAAGUGGGGGACCUUCGGGCCUCACGCCAUAAGAUUAGCCCAAGUGGGAUUAGCUAGUUGGUGAGGUAAUGGCUCACCAAGGCGACGAUCCCUAGCUGGUUUGAGAGGAUGAUCAGCCACACUGGGACUGAGACACGGCCCAGACUCCUACGGGAGGCAGCAGUGGGGAAUAUUGCACAAUGGGCGCAAGCCUGAUGCAGCCAUGCCGCGUGUGUGAAGAAGGCCUUCGGGUUGUAAAGCACUUUCAGUAAGGAGGAAAGGUUAAGUGUUAAUAGCACUUAGCUGUGACGUUACUUACAGAAGAAGCACCGGCUAACUCCGUGCCAGCAGCCGCGGUAAUACGGAGGGUGCGAGCGUUAAUCGGAAUUACUGGGCGUAAAGCGUACGCAGGCGGUUUGUUAAGCGAGAUGUGAAAGCCCCGGGCUCAACCUGGGAACUGCAUUUCGAACUGGCAAACUAGAGUGUGAUAGAGGGUGGUAGAAUUUCAGGUGUAGCGGUGAAAUGCGUAGAGAUCUGAAGGAAUACCGAUGGCGAAGGCAGCCACCUGGGUCAACACUGACGCUCAUGUACGAAAGCGUGGGGAGCAAACAGGAUUAGAUACCCUGGUAGUCCACGCCGUAAACGAUGUCUACUAGAAGCUCGGCUCUUCGGAGUUGUUUUUCAAAGCUAACGCAUUAAGUAGACCGCCUGGGGAGUACGGCCGCAAGGUUAAAACUCAAAUGAAUUGACGGGGGCCCGCACAAGCGGUGGAGCAUGUGUUUAUUCGAUGCACGCGAGACCUUACCUACACUUGACAUACAGAGACUUACCAGAGAUGUUUGUGCUUCGGGACUCUGAUACAGUGCUGCAUGCUGUCGUCAGCUCGUGUGUGAGAUGUUGGGUAAGUCCCGCAACGAGCGCAACCCCUAUUCUUAGUUGCCAGCGAUUCGGUCGGUACUCUAAGAGACUGCCGGUGUAUAAACACGCAGGAAGGAGGGGGACCACCUCAGGUCUUCUUGGGCUUCCACUUUGAGGGGGUAAAACCCCGUGUCUAUGGCCCCAUACAGAAGAGCUGCGAACCGUGUCCAGUAGCAAAUACACCUCUAAUAUGCGUGCGGCGUAAUACUCGGGCAAUG